rnacentral:tRNA from 1 species
GGUCCUAUAGUCAAUUAUUAAUGACAUUAGAUUGCAAAUCUAAAAGAGUAGAAUUUUACUGGGGCUU